rnacentral:lncRNA from 1 species
AUAUUCUUAAAAUUUCAACCAAAUUUAUUUCGUUGGUCUAACGUUUGAUUAGCGAUCCAAGCAAACAAAUCAAAAUCGGAAUAUAUGUAUUCACUUGCUUUAAUACAGACUAACUAUAUGCUAAAGUUUACAUAAUGAUCAUGUAUUCUGUUGAAGGCUAACUAAAACAGACUACAUGCCGUUUAUUAUAUCCUUUAUUAUAUCAAAUAAAAACCUCACGCAGUUUUGAAUUGAUCUAUAUAAUCUAAGUUUUGAAGUUUGAAACAAUGGUUUUUGUAGGUUGAACAAGUGACUCCAGUAGCAGCUGAGAACAUCGAGGUGCCACCACCAAAGGCUGUGGAGUCGGAGGAAGUCACCACCGUCUCCGAGUCUCUUCCAGCUCCGGUAACAGAAUCUCAAGCGCCUGUCGAAGUAACAACUAAAGAUUUGGUCGUGGAAGAGACAGAGAAACCAAUCGAAGAAACAGAGGAAGCUCAAGUUGAAACUCCGGAGGUUGUGGAGAUCAAGAAAGAUGAAGAAGCUCCGGUUGAAACUCCGGUGGUUGUGGAGGAUGAGAGCAAAACAGAGGAAGUUGUAGAGGCGAAGAAAGAGGAAGAAGUAGAAGAAAAG